CAUAUCAGACACAUACAUAUAUAAAAAGAUGCAGUAAGCAGGAAAAUAGAUAAUUAUUUCAAAGUUUGUUAACAAACCCAGUAAAACAAUGAAAUUGAGUUACAUGCUGUAAUUAAACUCACAAUGCAGAACAACCUGUAAACUCGUUCUUAUAAACCCACUGAGCCAGCGAUGAAGUUUUUAACAGCUUAACAUUAAAUGCACAGGGCACACAAUGCUCAAAGCUAAAAUGAAUAUAAUAACUAAUAUUUAGAGUAUUAUAUUAAUAAUAGAAAAAUGGCCUAAGAAUGUGAAAGGAAAAAAAAAGAUUUAAGCCUAACCAAGUUAUCUAACAUUAACUGAACGUCAUUUAAAAAGACAACUGUUUUUUGAUGCACCUAUGAAUAAGCCAGGAAAAAAUGUUUGCUAACUUUCGGUACCUUCUGCCCUCUGCUCCCUGCAUACAGAAGGUAGAUUCAAUAUAUUCUGGCUACAUGAGGAUCUCCACCCAAGAAGGGUUUGAAUAAGAAAAGCCAUAAGGGUGCAUCUGACACGGUGUCAGAACCAGAACAUUUUACAGCAUUGCCUCACACAGAUACGUGCCACUACUAGGAAGGUGGAAUUUAAUAAGUUCAUUAACCCUGAAGAGGGAGAAUGUGUUACUUCAUAUAUGAACUGGG